rnacentral:lncRNA from 10 species
CCUCUGGUGUCAGCUUAUUCAUCAAGGAUAAAAUAGCAAUAAAUGAACCUUUCUGAGAGAAUUACUGGGAUAUGUUCUCCAGGAAGAAGAAAAACAAGAAGAGAAGGAAGAAUGUUGAAAUUUAAGAAGCAAGAUCAAUGAUUGAUUGAAUCUUUGGGUGUGGAACCUGCAGAUACAGAGGGCAAACUCUUCAGAUGAGAUCAAUAUAAUGGAUGGAAGGGAGAGGGAACAAAAUGAAGUAAAAGUAUGUUAAAUUAUUUUUAAUGAGACAUGAUAUAAAU